GAUGAAGAACGCAGCGAAAUGCGAUACGUAAUGUGAAUUGCAGAAUUCAGUGAAUCAUCGAGUCUUUGAACGCACAUUGCGCCCCCUGGUAUUCCGGGGGGCAUGCCUGUCCGAGCGUCAUUGCUGCCCUCAAGCACGGCUUGUGUGUUGGGCCUCCGUCCUCCUCCCGGGGGACGGGCCCGAAAGGCAGCGGCGGCACCGCGUCCGGUCCUCGAGCGUAUGGGGCUUCGUCACCCGCUCUUGUAGGCCCGGCCGGCGCUUGCCGACACAUCAAUCUUUUUUCCAGGUUGACCUCAAAUCAGGUAGGACUACCCGCUGAACUUAAGCAUAUCAAUAAGCGGAGGA
rnacentral:misc_RNA from 1 species